AGCAGCCGCGGUAAUUCCAGCUCCAAUAGCGUAUAUUAAAGUUGUUGCAGUUAAAAAGCUCGUAGUUGAAUUUCGGGGUUUAUCCGUUGGUCGGGCUUUUGGGUCUGUACUGGCGUGAUGGAUUCCUACCUUCUGAAUAACCAGCAUGUCAUUAAUUUGGUGCGUUGGGGAAGCAGGACUGUUACCUUGAAAAAUUAGAGUGCUUAAAGCAGGCUAUUGCCUGAAUACAUUAGCAUGGAAUAAUGAAAUAGGACGCAUGGUUCUAUUUUGUUGGUUUCUAGGAUCACCGUAAUGAUUAAUAGGGAUAGUUGGGGGCAUUAGUAUUCAAUUGUCAGAGGUGAAAUUCUUGGAUUUAUUGAAGACUAACUUCUGCGAAAGCAUUUGCCAAGGAUGUUUUCAUUAAUCAAGAACGAAAGUUAGGGGAUCGAAGACGAUCAGAUACCGUCGUAGUCUUAACCAUAAACUAUGCCGACUAGGGAUCGGACGAUGUUAAUUUUUAAUGACUCGUUCGGCGCUUAAC
rnacentral:rRNA from 1 species